GUCCAGACUCCUACGGGAGGCAGCAGUGGGGAAUAUUGCGCAAUGGGCGGAAGCCUGACGCAGCGACGCUGCGUGAGGGAUGAAGGUCUUCGGAUCGUAAACCUCUGUCAGGAGGGAAGAAGUGGUUAUAUGCGAAUAGUGUAUGACUUUGACGGUACCUCCAAAGGAAGCACCGGCUAACUCCGUGCCAGCAGCCGCGGUAAUACGGAGGGUGCGAGCGUUAAUCGGAAUUACUGGGCGUAAAGCGCUCGUAGGCGGUAUGUCAAGUCAAGGGUGAAAUCCCCGCGCUCAACGUGGGAACUGCCUUUGAAACUGGCAAACUGGAGUGUGUGAGAGGAUAGUGGAAUUCCAGGUGUAGGAGUGAAAUCCGUAGAUAUCUGGAGGAACAUCAGUGGCGAAGGCGACUAUCUGGCACAUAACUGACGCUGAGGAGCGAAAGCGUGGGUAGCAAACAGGAUUAGAUACCCUAGUAUCU
rnacentral:rRNA from 1 species